ACUGAACGCUGGCGGCAUGCCUAACACAUGCAAGUCGAACGGCAGCGCGGGUAGCAAUACCUGGCGGCGAGUGGCGGACGGGUGAGGAAUACAUCGGAAUCUACCCUGUCGUGGGGGAUAACCAACCGAAAGGUUGGCUAAUACCGCAUACGACCGAGAGGUGAAAGCGGAGGACCGCAAGGCUUCGCGCGAUUGGAUGAGCCGAUGUCGGAUUAGCUAGUUGGCGGGGUAAGAGCCCACCAAGGCGACGAUCCGUAGCUGGUCUGAGAGGAUGAUCAGCCACACUGGGACUGAGACACGGCCCAGACUCCUACGGGAGGCAGCAGUGGGGAAUAUUGGACAAUGGGCGCAAGCCUGAUCCAGCAAUGCCGCGUGUGUGAAGAAGGCCUUCGGGUUGUAAAGCACUUUUAUCGGGAGCGAAAAGCUUGGGAUUAAUACCCUCAAGUGCUGACGGUACCCGAUGAAUAAGCACCGGCUAACUUCGUGC
rnacentral:rRNA from 1 species